rnacentral:rRNA from 1 species
GACGAACGCUGGCGGCGUGCUUAACACAUGCAAGUCGAACGGAAAGGCCCUGCUUUUGUGGGGUGCUCGAGUGGCGAACGGGUGAGUAACACGUGAGUAACCUGCCCUUGACUUUGGGAUAACUUCAGGAAACUGGGGCUAAUACCGGAUAGGAGCUCCUGCUGCAUGGUGGGGGUUUGAAAGUUUCGGCGGUUGGGGAUGGACUCGCGGCUUAUCAGCUUGUUGGUGGGGUAGUGGCUUACCAAGGCUUUGACGGGUAGCCGGCCUGAGAGGGUGACCGGCCACAUUGGGACUGAGAUACGGCCCAGACUCCUACGGGAGGCAGCAGUGGGGAAUAUUGCACAAUGGGCGGAAGCCUGAUGCAGCAACGCCGCGUGCGGGAUGACGGCCUUCGGGUUGUAAACCGCUUUCGCCUGUGACGAAGCGUGAGUGACGGUAAUGGGUAAAGAAGCACCGGCUAACUACGU